rnacentral:rRNA from 1 species
CAAACGGGUGCGGAACACGUACAGAACCUACCUUUACCUUGGGGCAUAGCCCGGAGAAAUCCGGAUUAACUCCCCAUAACAUAUAUGAGUGGCAUCACUUGAAUAUUAAAAAUUUAUUGGGUAAAGAUGGCUGUGCGUCCCAUUAGCUAGUUGGUAGGGUAACGGCCUACCAAGGCAACGAUGGGUAGCUGGUGUGAGAGCACGACCAGCCACACGGGUACUGAGACACGGACCCGACUCCUACGGGAGGCAGCAGUGAGGAAUAUUGGUCAAUGGACGCAAGUCUGAACCAGCCAUGCCGCGUGAAGGAUGAAGGCCUUCUGGGUUGUAAACUUCUUUUACCUGGGAAGAAACCCCGAUUUUCUAAUCGGGUUGACGGUACCAGAGGAAUAAGCACCGGCUAACUCCGUGCCAGCAGCCGCGGUAAUACGGAGGGUGCAAGCGUUAUCCGGAUUUACUGGGUUUAAAGGGUGUGUAGGCGGGCUCUUAAGUCAGUGGUGAAAUCUCCGGGCUCAACCCGGAAACUGCCAUUGAUACUAUUAGUCUUGAAUUUUGUUGAGGUAGGUGGAAUAAGUCAUGUAGCGGUGAAAUGCGUAGAUAUGACUUAGAACACCAAUUGCGAAGGCA